AUUAAUAGUUAUGAUCUUUAAAUUAAAAGAAUUUGACGGUGGUUUAAUCUAUUCAGAGGAACCUGUCCUGUAAUCGAUAUUCCACGAUAAAUGUUACUUUUAUUUUGGUUUGUAUAUCUCUGUUUAUUGAGUGUUCUAUUAGGAUAUUCUCUUUUAAUUUUUUAAAAUUAAAUAUCAGGUCAAGGUGCAAUUAUAUAAAAGAAUGAGAUGGGUUACAUUUAAUAUAUAAUUUUGGAUUAAGGGUUUUAUAUUCUUAUGAAAUUGGAUUUGGAUGUAAUAGAUAUUAUAUUUUAUUUAUGAUAAAAGUUCUGGAUUAAGUACACAUCGCCCGUCAUUCUCAUUUUUAAUGUGAGACAAGUCGUAACAAAGUAGGCCUAUCGGAAGCUGGGCUUGGAAUUA
rnacentral:rRNA from 1 species